CCAUAAUCAAAAAUUCAAAAAACAGUAGAUGUUGGCAUGGAUGUAGUGAACAGGAAACACUUCUACACCAAUGGUGGGAGCAAAGUAUAUAUUCAGAAUAUUUCAGUAUCUGAGUUUUGAUUAAAGGAAUAGAGAAAUAGCAUACACUAUUGAAAUAAUUUGUAUGGCAAUAAUAAGGAAUAUGAUAUAAUCUAUCAUUGUGUAUCUUUUGGUACAAAAUACCCAACUAGUAACCUUAUUUCUCCUUUGAGACAUCUACUCAAAGUAGAGUAGCCUUCAAUAGCUAACAAAAUGCUACUGUUGUCAACUCAAAGAUCUCUUUUAUUCUUAGCACCCGAACUUUACCCUUCAACCUGGGACAGGAACCAGUGUUACUGAUACAUAAAAGUUUAGGAUAGUUAAAGCAAGGAGAUUAAACUGAAUGUGGAUAUGUUAAUCUUGGUAUUUUAAAUAAGAAUAAAGGGCUUUUAAGAAAGAUAUAGCUGGAAAACUUGAC
rnacentral:lncRNA from 1 species